rnacentral:rRNA from 1 species
UACGUAGGGUGCGAGCGUUGUCCGGAUUUAUUGGGCGUAAAGGGCUCGUAGGCGGCUUGUCGCGUCGGGAGUGAAAGCCCGCUGCUUAACGGCGGGUUGGCUUCCGGUACGGGCAUCGCUGGAGUGCGGCAGGGGAGACUGGAAUUCCUGGUGUAGCGGUGGAAUGCGCAGAUAUCAGGAGGAACACCGGUGGCGAAGGCGGGUCUCUGGGCCGUUACUGACGCUGAGGAGCGAAAGCGUGGGGAGCGAACAGG